AAAUAAAUUUUUUAUAGUUUAUAAAUUUUAUUUUAAAUUUAUUUUACAUAUAAAUUUUAGUGUUGAAUUUAUAUUAUUUAAAUAAUAAUUUAUUUAUAAAGGUAGUAAUUAAUAUUAAAUUAUUUAAGAAAUUAAGAUUUAGUAAUAUUUUAAUUAAUAACAAAUUUUGUGCCAGCAGUUGCGGUUAUACAAAAAUUAAGUUAAAUUUUAUUGGUAAUUAAUAAACAAUAAAAAAUAAUAAAAAUUUUAAAUUAUUAAGUGAAAUUUUAAUUUAAUAAAAUUUUAUGAAAAAAUUGUGAUUUAAUAAAUUUUAUAAUAAACUAGGAUUAGAUACCCUAUUAUUAAAAUUUAAAAUUAAAAUACUAAAAUAGUAAAUAAUUAUUUAUUGAAACUUAAAUAAUUUGGCGGUAUUUUAGUUCAUUUAGAGGAAUCUGUUUAAUAAUUGAUAAUCCACGAAUAAAUUUACUUAAUUUAUAAUUUUGUAUAUCGUUGUUAAAAAAAUAUUUUUUAAUAAAAUUAAUAUUUAAUAAUUAUUAUAACAAUUUAAAUCAGAUCAAGAUGCAGAUUAUAAUUAAGAAUAUAAUGGAUUACAAUAAAUUUAUUUAUAUGAAUAUUAAUUUGUAAUAAUUAAUUGAAAGUGGAUUUAAAUGUAAUUUUAUUUAAUUUAAUAAAAUGAUUAUAUAUUAAAAUAUGUACAUAUUGCCCGUCGCUUUCAUAUAUAAAUAAGUUGAAAUAAGUCGUAACAAAGUAGAGGUACUGGAAAGUGUUUCUAGAAAGAA
rnacentral:ncRNA from 1 species